GUGGAAAACCGCUUAUCGGUUUCAUGGGUGAAAACCGCUUGUCGGUCUCGUGGGUGAAAACCGCUUCAAGAUGUUCCCCAAAAGCCCCAUCAAAUGGGUUGUGAAUGAAUGAGGGCCGGGUUAGCCCCCUACCCCCAAAAACAAUGAGACUAUUCCCAUUUUCUUCUGAACAACCACAGCUGCGGCCCCAACAAACCCACACCGACACCACCUCGCCCGCACCGCGCACCGCCGGAUCGUGGACUCAGCGUCGCUGCGGGGCGACUCGUCGCAGCUCUACCGCGCGAUCCGCGUCUUCCUCGUAGUGGUGAUUGUGCUCUUAGGGUUCGAGCUCGUCGCGUAUUUCAAGGGGUGGCAUUUCAGGCGCCCCGAUCCCAGCGACGUCCUGGGCAUGCUCGUCGUCGUUUACGCCGUGUGGGUCGACGUCACCUGUUCCCGCCGUUGCAGAGCCUGGCGAAUUUUGUUACAAAAAAAGGUUAACCCGCCCAGAAUUUCCUAUAACAAUUUUCUACAGUGAAUUUGGUGGAGGGCGAGCUGCUAGGUAGAAAGAUCAAGAUGUUGGUGGAGGGCAUGCAAGUAGCAGUUCAAGCAGUGAUUCAUCAUCGUCAAGUGGCUUCUCGCACAUUGCAUCAUCGUUGCCGCGUCUUAAGAAAAGGGGCUUCAUUAUUACCCUAAUCAUAUCAAUAGCCUCCAGUAGUAGAAAACGUGGUCAUGGUUCGGGCGAGAGACGAAACCAUCUCUUCUCUGUUCCAGGCAGCGGAUUGCUUCAAGUUUCUAAAAAUUCCGAAAGGUCCAUUUUGAAUCAGUAAUUUCCAAAAUCCUCGAUUCUCUAUUUUAAAUGGUUUUGAAGCGAGGCUCACACUUUUCUUCAACAGAUAUUCUAGAGUAUGUAAAAUGGCAGCAUCACCUGGAUAAUCCGUUCUUCCUAAUAUGGGUUUUUGUAGUUUUUCCCAUAUUCGUUCUCCCUCAUCCACUUUCCCUUUUUGAAUAAAGGCCCGUGCCAAUUUUAGAUAUGUUCUACCAACGUGAGACGUAUCUGCAGAAGCAAAACACAAUACUAUGAGCAAUAUAUUAAAAGAAUAAGAGACACUAAAAGAAUAAAAGAAGGAAACGUUAAAAAUGAUAAAUUAUUCUUGCCUGGAUCCUUGUGAGUGGAAAUUCUCAAUAGAGUAAGGAUUUUAAGUUUGUCCAGAAGCUGGGAAUAAGCAGGAUUUUUUUUGUUUUCUUCCAUUAUCUGGUCAAUCCCCAAAUCAUCUUCCUCCAUAUUGUCACUUGCCUGGCCAUUAUCAUCGUUGUCUUCAUCAUCUGCACUCUGGCUAUUAUCACUCUCUGAUGCUGUUUGGCUAUCACUCUCAGUAUCAUCAUCCUCAUCUUGAUCUAGAUGUCUCUUAAUAUGAGACAAUACAUGGAUGAGGUUAUAUGCGUCAUCAUCACAAAAAUAAUUGAAUACUUCUCUAGCAACGUCAAAAUAUGAUAUGUCUAGUGACGGCCUCCAGGGGCAGCUAGAAUGAUAAAAUAAGUAAAAUAAGUAAUAAGCAAGCAAUCAAAACAUUCUUUUAUAAAAAAACUUAUAUACAAACCUUCUUUACUAAAGUUAGAAUUACAUGAACAGCAGGCAGUUGUAAAUUCUGGUAUCGGUAUGCAAUGCAUAUAACUGCAGACAUAAAUUCUUGUAUGGAGGGAGUAUGGUUAUCUUUAUGAUACUCCGUACUAAACUUUCCGGAUUGCGCCAAAGCCUUAUAGGCCAUCAAGCGGCCUAAUAGAUUACCGUGUACCUCCUGUAAUUUCAGAUACAAAUAUUAUCCCUAGAAACGUAUACGAAGUUUAUGUAAUUGUAAAAUAAAACAAAAUAACGCCAUUAAUUUCUUACCUUAUUGUUCAUUAAUGGCGUCACAUUAUGCAAACUCACUAUAAGUUUAAGCAAGUCGUCAAUUUUGAUAUUAGGAACCGUUGCAACUAAUUGAGCUAAACCUGUUGCAAAGCCUACCAUCGCACACUGAAAAAGAAAUAAAGAAAAUAUUAUUUUAGUAAAAGAUUAGCGAGCAAAUAUUGAAAACAUCAAGCAUAUUCUAACCAUUAAAAUAAAAGAUAAAGCAUAGUCCAACACUCUAAUUAGAGGUGUUAUUUUAAUCCACCACCCAUGGGUCAGCCCCAGCCCUAUUAGAAAUUAAGCCCCAUUUUAGUGACCAACUUAACAAGGGACUUUCUGAAAGCCCCCAGCCCCAAAAGCCCUUAGUAGAAUGGGUUGGGACAGUUUCAGGGUGGGUUGAGCCCCUUUUUCAAUCAAACCACUUUCUUUCUUUCUCCAUUUGAUGUUCUGCCACUUUAGAUGUUGUUUUGUCAUUUUCUCCUACUACUGUAUGGCUUUAAACCGGGUUCAAUGCAUUAUACAUUUGGUUGAAAGUAUGAGAACUGAGUGGUACAGAGGUUGGAUGUGCUGGUCAGUAUGCAAGUGAUUUUUACAGGUCUUUGACUGGAAGCAGGGUUUCUAGGUUUGAAUCAUGAUGUAGGAAGUCAUUCUUCGUGGGCUGAACUUGAAUCAGGCUUGAAUUUAUGUUAAAGUUGAUGGGUAGUUUAUUAACCUGUUACAUGAUCACAGUUCCAGUGCAGUGAUAUUCUCUGGUUGCUAGCUAUGUGCAGUGGUUGAAUGGAAUAAAUUGCAAUAUAUGUCGGUUGUCUCGGUGGUUAACAGAAGCAUAAGGGUAUGUAAUAUAGUUAAUCCUAAAAAAGGGAGACAAUCGUGGUGUUAGGAGUGAAUUUGGUAGAUUAAGUAUGAAUCAGUGUUGCACAGUUUUAAUGUGGGUUGCUAUGUGGCUUUAUGAGAUGUUGUUGUCCCUUGUGGUGUCCAGGAGUUUACUGAAUCUGUCUUAGAUUGCUGUAGAUGGUAAAUAUAUACGUUAAGCCGAGCUGUUUAGGGAAUGAACAUUGGGGUUUAAGUGCUCGUGUUGGGGCUAGGAUAGUAGAGUUAAGAAAUUAACCUUUUGUAGUGCUGUGCCGGGGUUUUUGGAUUAGUGCAAUGACUUGAGGAGAGUAACAGCAAUUGGUAUAGUGUCUUAAGGGCUAGUUUCUUUCACCAUUCAUAGAGUGGUAAAUCACUUGGUUAAUAUUUAGAGAGCGUUGCAAGGUCAAAACCGAGUAUGCUCAAAACUCUUUACUUUUUGUCCCUGGGGGCUUCUCUGAUUUAAAAAUCAACUUGAUAUGUUUAAUUUAAGUGUUUGUUGAAUUGGAUGGUAACUUUUUAUUACGUUGGAUGUGUUUGAUGUUUUUACUAA